rnacentral:miRNA from 2 species
GAUGAGCUCAUUGUAAUAUGA